GCCAGAGGCGCCAAACGGUUAGGCAACAGAUUUGUAAUCUGUCGUGGCAACACAUAGUGGGUUCGACUCCCAUCUCUGGCUCCA
rnacentral:tRNA from 1 species